GGUGGACUGCACCCAGAGGAUUAUACACUGAAGUCCAAAUUAACAAGUGCAAGAAAAAAGGUGAUCAGGAGCACAAUCAGGCCUACGUUGUUGCCUGGAGGUCAGUUUUGUCCAGCCAACCACAGUGCCUCCCGUGGAGGUUCUGAAGCCUGCUUGUGGUCGAUGUUUUGUGAUCCAGAAUUUCGUUUAAGUUUUCUUUUGUUUUAUUUGUAUGUUAGGCUAAGUCCCAUUUUGGUUAUUUGUAAGUGAAGCGAUGUAAGAUUGUUGCUUAUAUGACGUCACGUUUAUCUAAUUAAAGUUUAAAA